AGUAGGAUUGCUGGGUCAUAUGGUCACUCUACUUUUUAACUUUAUAAGAAACUGUCAAACCUUUUUCCAAAGUUUCUAUACCAUUUUGCAUUCUCACUGGCAAU
rnacentral:pre_miRNA from 1 species